rnacentral:rRNA from 1 species
UACGUAGGUGGCAAGCGUUGUCCGGAAUUAUUGGGCGUAAAGCGCGCGCAGGCGGUCCUUUAAGUCUGAUGUGAAAGCCCACGGCUCAACCGUGGAGGGUCAUUGGAAACUGGGGGACUUGAGUACAGAAGAGGAAAGCGGAAUUCCACGUGUAGCGGUGAAAUGCGUAGAGAUGUGGAGGAACACCAGUGGCGAAGGCGGCUUUCUGGUCUGUAACUGACGUUGAGGCGCGAAAGCGUGGGGAGCAAACAGG